rnacentral:rRNA from 1 species
UACGUAGGUGGCAAGCGUUGUCCGGAUUUACUGGGCGUAAAGCGCGCGCAGGCGGUUCGGUACGUCCGGCGUGAAAGCUCCCGGCUCUACUGGGAGAGGGCGUUGGAUACGGCCGGACUGGAGGGCGGUAGAGGUCGGUGGAAUUCCCGGUGUAGUGGUGAAAUGCGUAGAGAUCGGGAGGAACACCUGUGGCGAAGGCGGCCGACUGGGCCGUCCCUGACGCUGAGGCGCGAAAGCGUGGGGAGCGAACCGG